rnacentral:lncRNA from 1 species
CCAUUUAACAGGUGAGGAAACUAAGGCAGAGAAGUAAGAAUCCUGGUCCAGUCACUCAUUUGAGGACCUGGGCUGCCAGCCAGGGCUCCUGACCUGCUGCCAGAUCCAAGCAAGAGCCUGUGCUGGGCAUAGGGAGAGAGGUACAGGACAGAGAACCUGUACUUCCAUUUGAAGCCACAGAACAAGGCGUUUCUCCUGAAAGUGCCCAGCACAAAGUCUUCGAGGAUGACGCCUCUGUGGACAGGGGAGCCCAUCUCUGUCUUCACAGGAGAUGGAAGCCUGGAGCCCACAGCUUGCCCAGGCCUUGGCUGUGCCGUUACCAAGUGACCAGUUCUGAGGCCUCCCCCGAGGCCACUUGGGAGCUGACAGGCGGAUGUGGCUUCCCUCGUCCCAGCUCCUGCUUCCCAGCCAGGGACCCUGAGACCCAGCUCGGGGUAAUGAGGGGAAGUAACAGAUACAUCUAUUUUUAAUCCAAAUAAAGGGAAAAUGUUUGCCACCACAGAGUUUAUAAAAAUAACAAUGCAUUAUUUGGGCAUUAAUAACAAUAAAGAUGUCAAACUGUCAGAUAAGAAGUUAAUCUCAUUCUGAGCACAAUUAAAGACGCUAUUAUCCCACCACCUGGGGCCACUCUGACUUUUACCACGCAGCAGGCUUAAUAGAUAAAGGGGCCACGCACAGAGCACAGGGAGUGCUUGGCACUGCCCGCCUGCCCAGCCUGCAACAUGCUGCCACUGCCAGACCUUUCCCUCAGCGUUCCCAGCUCAAGGACUCAGGCCCAGCACAGCAGGACACUCAGGGCUGAAGGUGAGGACAGAGCAAGCUGGGACCUGGGCCUGUGCACCUGCCUGUCACCAGUCCGGCUCUGAUCCAGGACACAAAACCCCUGGCCCGUACAAUGUAUGCACCGAGGGGACCCC